rnacentral:lncRNA from 1 species
AUGCAGUCACCUUCAGCCUAUCACUUAGAGACAACCAUUAUGAAUAUUUUGGGAUAUUUAUCUCCAGAUCUCUCUGUCUCAUAUAUGUGUAUAUAUAUAUUUAUUUAUAUUUAUAAACUUAGAGGUAGAGAUUAUUCUUUUUUUUUUUCUUCUUUUUUUUCUUUCUUUUUUCUUUUUUUGAUGAUGUCUUGCUCUUUCACCAGGCUGGAGUGCAGUGGCAUGAUCUCUCCUCACUGCAACCUCUGCCUCCCGGGUUCAAGCAAUUCUCCUGCCUUAGCCUCCCGAAUAGCUGGGACUACAGGCAUGUGGGGCUUGGGUUCUUCUGGCCUUUGUGUGAUUGUGAAUGCUGAGCUUCAGCUGAGAGCUCUGGGGCUGUGUUGUCUGUAGCUGGGAUGCUGUCCUUUGAGACUCUGGGUUGGUUGCCUGCCAAAGGCCCUUCAUACACAUAAGGUCAUUCUGGUGUCCAGUGCACAGUUUCCAGCAGGCCUCGGGUGACCUAUGAAAUAAUGAUCUUAACAACAGCCACCACUUAGAGCAAGGCAGAGGGCUAAAUACUUCACAUAGAUUAUCUGAUUUACCUCUCAUGAUAACCCUUUGCAUAAUUUUAUCAUCCUCAUUUUAUAGCUGAGGAGGCUCUGCAAAUGUAGGCCACUGGAUUUGAAGUCAGAUCAGCUGGAUCCUCAAACCUGAGCUUAAUAGUUAGCUAGGUGAAGGCAGGGACUAUCUGUCAGUUCAGCACACUAUCUCUAGGGCCCAGCAUGUGUCUGAGAAAACAUUUAUUGACUAAACGACUAAAACAAAAAAUCUACCAAAAUGCUGUCCUCCACUGACUUUCUGCAGCACAUUUUUUUUUUUCCCCAGAGUGAGAUUGUGUUGUACUAUUUGUUCCACACGUCCCUGCUUCCACCGCAGUGACCCAGGGCACACAUUGGUCAAUGCUGGCUGCCGUCGAGUCUUGGAUACAGACUGAGGCAUAAAGGCUUUGGAGUAAUUGGACAUGUGUCCAACCAAGGAGCCAAAUCUUGCUUCAGUCCAGUUUUCUCUGGAAUUUUAGGCAAGGAAAGCAUCUUUGGGGCCAUCGAACCCAGCCUAUUCCUGAAGGAGCAGAAACAGUGAAAGUGGACACUUGUCUCAGCUGGCCUCUGUCUCUAGCAUGAAAUUCCUGGAGAGUGGUUUUGCAGCCCCUCUUCCAGGACACGGGUGAGUUUGAGUGGAGUUGUGAAGAUAGCCUGAGCAGGUUUCUCAGAAAUGCCAGGAAGUGGCCCCUCUACCUUUAGAAUUCUAAAUAGAAUUGGCCAAGACUUGAGUGGAAGGGAGGAGGUAAACUUGUUUGUAGAAAGAACUAGGGCACUGACAUGCCAGCUCCAGAAAACAGCAUGGCCCUUCUCUAAAGUUUGAACUUUUAGAUCAGAGGGAGAUACAGCCUUCAACCUUUCCCUUCUCCAUUCAGGUCUCCUUGUGGAGAGACAAUGAGUGGUGGUAGGAACUCCCCUGAAAUGGAUCUGCCUGGAGCUGAGGCCAUAAUUACCUCAGUGUUGCUAGCAUGUCACAAUCAAGAGCAGGUGGUUGUUUUUAAAUGGCCCAAGUUGUAGGAAUAUCAGUGGAAAAUAAAAAGCAUUCCAAAGACUGCCCAGAUUGGUGGUGUUUGUGUUGUUUGGGUGAUGGUAAGAUACUGGAAAUGAAGAAGUCAUGUGUGUGUGUGUGUGUGUGUGUGUAUCUUUGUUGUUGAUGGUGAAUUUUUUGUCAUAGUAACCAUUACUUUCUGAGCUAUGGACCUCUGUCCCAAGAUUCUGGAGCUGUAAGUUGAUGAGGUUUCCUGUUGAGACACACGACACCUGCAGGUAGGCCAGGGAUUUCAGGAAGCAGUCUGCGACCAAAGGUAUCCUUCAAUAUCCUUCUCAAUGGCCUCUGUUCCUAUGUUCAUUCAUUCCUGCACCCAGCUUGGCCUUCUAUCAUCUUGCUGCCUCCUGUCCUGAAGCCCAUGGCUGCGGGGGCUAAGCUCCCACUCCAGGAGGUUUUCUCACAGGGCCCAACCCCACACAGCACAGUGGCCUUGUCCAGCCCCACUGGCAUGCUAAUGUGUGACAUUCUCUUUAUCUUUCUAUAUGAAGAGAAAUCCUAUACUUGUUCAUACCACCGUACAUUUGGAACAGACCAGAAGGACGUUUCCUGGGCCUCUAACCACUUAUUCUGCCCACAUUUCCUAUACAACCUGGCUUGGCUUUUCUACUUCCAAUCUGCUUGAGUCAGUGCCAGAUUUGGGGCGUGAUGCUCUGCAUGUGUGACCUGCUUCCUAGUCUCAGGCCUGCUUAUACAACACACACACACACACACACACACACACACACUCCCCUACAUCCAAACUCUGGCUAUGCUUAAAGAAUCCUUCAUUUGAGGGUAUAAAAGUCGAGUAUCCUGAGAAAAGGAUGGGAUGGGUUAUUUUCUUUGGGUCAGUUACCUUUUAGUUUAAUAAGCAAUAUCCAAGAGGCAUAAAGAUAAUAGUCCCUGGUUGGAGAAUCUCCUUUUUCUCACUCUUAAUAUUUCCCCUUUGAGUUGCCAUUGGAUACAUACACUCCAUCAAGUCUGGAGUCCAACCUCACAGGCAUGGGUUUGGAGCUAAGCUUCUGGUGACUGUCACAUUGGGCAGGCAGUGGGGACCACAAAAGUUCCAGGUGAGCUGAUGGGAUUUAAA